CUCUCACCUGUCUGCCUGGGCGGAGCUCAGCUGGGCUCCCGCCCUUGGCCCACGCACCUGCUGUGAAUUCACCUGAUUACCUGGACUCCUGGGCUAUUUAAGCUGAGGACUCAGAAGGCUUCUUCGCUGGAUCGUUGAGUUACUCUCACUCGUCUGUACCCCCGAUCUGUUUUCCUGGUGGCAUGGUGUGGAGUGGAGUGAGAGUGAGUGUGCAAACAAACGUGUGAAACACAUACGAGAGGAGCGAGUGAGCGGAGCGUGUUUUGGACUUUCUCCCCUUUUUCCCCUGGACCGCUGCAUACCCCUGCCCUGUACACUGUAUAGACUUUCACGUGGUGUUUUGUAAAUAAAUUGACGACUGCUAUUCUAGUUCA